rnacentral:rRNA from 1 species
GAUCAUGGCUCAGGAUGAACGCUGGCGGCGUGCCUAAUACAUGCAAGUCGAACGCUUUGUAAAGGAGCUUGCUUCUUUACAGGGAGUGGCGAACGGGUGAGUAAUACAUAAGCAAUCUGCCCAUCGGCCUGGGAUAACAGUUGGAAACGACUGCUAAUACCGGAUAGGUGAUGAAGAGGCAUCUCUUGAUCAUUAAAGUUGGGAUACAACACGGAUGGAUGAGCUUACGGCG